rnacentral:rRNA from 1 species
AGUGAAUAGAUACCCAGGUAGUCCUGGCCUUAAACGAUGGAUGCUUGGUGUCUGGAGUUUUAUAGUCUCCGGGUGCCGUAGCUAACGCGUUAAGCAUCCCGCCUGGGGAGUACGGUCGCAAGACUGAAACUCAAAGGAAUUGACGGGGACCCGCACAAGCGGUGGAGCAUGUGGUUCAAUUCGACGCAACGCGAAGAACCUUACCUGGGCUAGAAUGCCUCUGACAACUCCAGAGAUGGAGCUUUCUAGGGAAACCUAGACGGAGUGCAAGGUGCUGCAUGGCUGUCGUCAGCUCGUGUCGUGAGAUGCUGGGUUAAUCCCGGNAACGAGCGNAACCCGUUAUCGAUAGUUGCUAGCGGUUACGGCCGAGCACUC